UACGUAGGGACCGAGCGUUGUCCGGAUUUAUUGGGCGUAAAGAGCGUGUAGGCGGCUUUACAGGUCCGUUGUGAAAACUCGAGGCUCAACCUCGAGACGCCGGUGGAAACCGUAAAGCUAGAGUCCGGAAGAGGAGAGUGGAAUUCCUGGUGUAGCGGUGAAAUGCGCAGAUAUCAGGAGGAACACCCGUGGCGAAAGCGGCUCUCUGGGACGGUACUGACGCUGAGACGCGAAAGCGUGGGGAGCAAACAGG
rnacentral:rRNA from 1 species